AGUGAAUAGAUACCCCGGUAGUCCCAGCUGUAAACGAUGCGCGUUAGGUGUAUCGGUGACCACGAGUCACCGAGGUGCCGAAAGAGAAAUCGUGAAACGUGCCGCCUGGGAAGUACGGUCGCAAGGCUGAAACUUAAAGGAAUUGGCGGGGGAGCACCACAACAGGUGGAGCCUGCGGUUUAAUCGGACUCAACGCCGGGAAGCUCACCGGAUAAGACAGCUGAAUGAUAGCCGGGUUGAAGACUCUGCUUGACUAGCUGAGAGGAGGUGCAUGGCCGUCGUCAGUUCGUACUGUGAAGCAUCCUGUUAAGUCAGGCAACGAGCGAGACCCACGCCAACAGUUGCCAGCAUGUCCUCCGGGAUGGUGGGGACACUGUUGGGACCGCCUCUGCUAAAGAGGAGGAAGGAAUGGGCAACGGUAGGUCAGCAUGCCCCGAAUUAUCCGGGCUACACGCGGGCUACAAUGGUCAGGACAAUGGGUAUCAACACCGAAAGGUGAAGGCAAUCUCCUAAA
rnacentral:rRNA from 1 species